UACGAAGGGGGCUAGCGUUGUUCGGAAUUACUGGGCGUAAAGCGCACGUAGGCGGUUUUCCAAGUUGGAGGUGAAAUCCCUGGGCUUAACCCAGGAACUGCCCCCAAAACUGGAUGACUCGAGUCCGAGAGAGGUGAGUGGAAUUUCCAGUGUAGAGGUGAAAUUCGUAGAUAUUGGAAAGAACACCAGUGGCGAAGGCGGCUCACUGGCUCGGUACUGACGCUGAGGUGCGACAGCGUGGGGAGCAAACGGG
rnacentral:rRNA from 1 species